AUAGGAUAUGGCUAUGGGGUCAAUAGGACACGGCUAUGGGGUCAAUAGGAUUUGGCUAUGGGGUCAAUAGGAUAUGGCUAUGGGGUCAAAAGGAUGGGGAUAUGGGGUCAAUAGGACACGGCUAUGGGGUCAAUAGGAUUUGGCUAUGGGGUCAAUAGGAUAUGGCUAUGGGGUCACUGGGAUGGGGCUAUGGGGUCAAUAGGAUGGGGCUAUGGGGUCAAUAGAGUGGGGCUAUGGGGUCAAUAGGAUAUGGCUAUGGGGUCAAUGGGAUGGGGCUAUGGGGUCAAUGGGAUAUGGAUAUGGUGUCAGUGGGAUAUGGAUAUGGGGUCAGUAGGAUGGGGCUAUGGGGUCAAUAGGAUGGGGCUAUGGGGUCAAUAGGAUGGGGCUAUGGGGUCAAUAGGAUUUGGCUAUGGGGUCAGUAGGAUAUGGGGCUAUGGGGUCAAUAGGAUGGGGCUAUGCGGUCAAU
rnacentral:lncRNA from 1 species